rnacentral:rRNA from 1 species
GAUGAACGCUGGCGGCGUGCCUAAUACAUGCAAGUCGAGCGAACGGACGAGAAGCUUGCUUCUCUGAUGUUAGCGGCGGACGGGUGAGUAACACGUGGAUAACCUACCUAUAAGACUGGGAUAACUUCGGGAAACCGGAGCUAAUACCGGAUAAUAUUUUGAACCGCAUGGUUCAAAAGUGAAAGACGGUCUUGCUGUCACUUAUAGAUGGAUCCGCGCUGCAUUAGCUAGUUGGUAAGGUAACGGCUUACCAAGGCAACGAUGCAUAGCCGACCUGAGAGGGUGAUCGGCCACACGGGAACUGAGACACGGUCCAGACUCCUACGGGAGGCAGCAGUAGGGAAUCUUCCGCAAUGGGCGAAAGCCUGACGGAGCAACGCCGCGUGAGUGAUGAAGGUCUGCGGAUCGUAAAACUCUGUUAUUAGGGAAGAACAUAUGGUAAGUAACUGUGCACAUCUUGACGGUACCUAAUCAGAAAGCCACGGCUAACUACGUG